UGGGGAAUAUUGGACAAUGGGCGAAAGCCUGAUCCAGCAAUGCCGCGUGAGUGAUGAAGGCCCUAGGGUUGUAAAGCUCUUUUACCCGGGAAGAUAAUGACUGUACCGGGAGAAUAAGCCCCGGCUAACUUCGUGCCAGCAGCCGCGGUAAUACGGAGGGGGCUAGCGUUGUUCGGAAUUACUGGGCGUAAAGCGCACGUAGGCGGCUUUGUAAGUCAGAGGUGAAAGCCUGGAGCUCAACUCCAGAACUGCCUUUGAGACUGCAUCGCUUGAAUCCAGGAGAGGUCAGUGGAAUUCCGAGUGUAGAGGUGAAAUUCGUAGAUAUUCGGAAGAACACCAGUGGCGAAGGCGACUGACUGGACAAGUAUUGACGCUGAGGUGCGAAAGCGUGGGGAGCAAAC
rnacentral:rRNA from 1 species